rfam:Myotis brandtii contig147821, whole genome shotgun sequence.
GGCAGUUCUUGGGUGAUGCACCUGGACUCAGGAUCCCUCCUCUCUGGUUCCGGGUGUGUCACCCAAGAACCGCC